UGUAUAGACCCGACCCUGUGAGCUGCAGGGCCAGCCUUGCAGCCCCCCAGCAGCAAGCACAGCCUGGCCGCGGGAUGAAGCAAUGAGCAGCCCACUCAGCGGCUUCAAUCAACUGACGUUUCUUCUAAGUGGUUUUAAAUAUCUGGAAAAUAUGAGCAACUGUAAGCUAAAACAGAGCACUGUUCCUAAUAUUGUGUUCUCUUGGCAGGAGGGAUGUCCAGAUUUCAGGGACGGAUCCUGGAAGAACAUUCAGGCGGCAAUGACCUCUGACAUUUGGAAGGCCAAAUAACAGUGGAAUAAGUGGCUUAGACAGAGUUAAGCAAGAGAGAAUAUUCCACCCCACACUGGCACGGUGCUUUGCUUCGCUCCAUUUCACAUCUCUGCUUCUCCAUGAAGUCGUGUCCGUAAAUCCAGAAAGCUUCCAUCAGAAAUGCUCAGUAUUGCAUGUUUAGUGUAACACUUACACCCUGUCAAGACUUCCAAAGCGCAACAAAUUAAUCUGGAAAUUCGAAUCGCUCUCGAUAGCACUGUUGCAGGGAUAUAACAGGAGCUCUGCAGGGAGAAGGUGGGAUGAAGACACUGAAAAGGGAUUGUUGCCCAGAAGGAUUGAUUGCCAUGGAGGAAAACCAGAAAAAGGAUAAAAAGCAUCAACAAAAUGUGUAGCAAAGAAGGUGGAAAGAGGAAACAAAUGGUGAAGUGAUACCAUGAUGCUCUACUGGCUCAAAAGCAAGGAAAAAUUAUGAAAGCGUUAAUUUAUUCAUUUUCAGCCGAAUGAAAACAAAACAAACAAAACAAAACAAAACAAAAAACUAGUAUAUAAAAAGAGACAGAAAAUAGAGCAGAAAUUAGAACAUGUGAAGAAAAUGGGCAGCAAAGGAAGAGGAAAUGAAGAGUGGUGAAACAAGUGUUGGAAGUAAAGGAGUGGGGGUGAAGAAGCAACACAAAGAGAUCUGAUGCACAGGGCUUUUAGUCCACUCUAAAAUGGAUCUUAGACUAUCUCAAGCUGUGCACUGCAGUGAGUAGUUUUGAACUGAGAGGUAAGUUGAAGUGGUAAGGACAAAUGAAGACUGAUAUUUAAUGUAGUUUUUGUGUACUUAUAUUUUGCUGUCAUGUAUUUUCCUUUAAAACUGAUUUGUAAUUUUAUGGGUUUUGUGACAUUAGGAUAAGAUGUGAUGUGAGUAUAGUUUCCAUUUAGCAAAUACAUUGAUGUAUUUUUGAGUAGGAGUGGUUGACUGUGGGAAUUCUGACCUUCAGGUUUCAUGUUUAGCAACAACAACAUGCAAGUUUAGAUCUGCACUCUUGAAUGCUCCUUUCUUUGGACUUACAGAGCAAAUGUUUUAAAGCAAGCCACUCAACCUUAUUUCAGAUCCUUCUGUGAGAGGCCCACAAGAUGUGAAUAUCCUCACGUCUCCAUUGUCUUGGGAAUACAGAGCAGACCUCAGCUAAGAAAAUUGGGACUUGCCACGGAGCUGGGUUUGCCACUUUGGGACAUAUCCUUCCACCCAUGUUGUGCAGCAGGGCAAAGCAAAGAGCCCUUUUCUCUCCCCUGUAAAGACAAAUUGCAGCACUCAUGGUGGCUGGAGCACAGAGGAGGUUUCCUAAUUGCUCCUCACAGGAUGGAAGUCACCCAGCCCCGUGUGGGUGGACAGGGUGAUGGGACCUGCUGCAGAGCACACACAGAAAGCGUUCCCUGAAGGGCGGUGCUGCUGAAUCCUGGCCUGAAGGCAGUCCUGCUGCUGACAUGUGGCGCUGCCUGUGAGGUUAGGUAAGAGGUGUAGAACUGUAUGAAGGUGGGAUUCUGCAUUGUUUUUACACCAGGAAGCACAAAACAUGUAGUGUUGACCUCCAUUUCAUCAGUAUUUGUAAGAAAGAGAAUUCUUAAGAAAUAAUGUUGCUUUCUUGCUUCUGAACUGAACAGUAAGUCAUACAGAAUAAAAAUUUUAAAUAAUAGCUAUUAGAUUAGGAAGAAUAAGAAGCUUUUACUACGUGGACGCUUUGACUAUUAAAGAAUUGAUAAAUUGCCACUGAAAUACAAGCAGCUCUGCAAUAUGAUAGAUCAAAGUUCAUUUUUUCCCUAACGCAGAGUUAAGAUGAGCAGGCUUUCUUUUUGCCCAUCUUCUUUGCAGAUCAAAAACAUUCCUUUCUUUUUAUUUGAGUGAUCAAUUUACUAGAAGAGUCCAAUAUAUAUGUUGUGACUGUACUAAAAUUCUUAUUCACAAGCCUUUAAGAAGUAAUAUAGCAUGUUGGUUGGCAUUAUGCAAACCUCAGUACAUCUCAGAACCACUGUUCAAAGUAUAUAGCAUGUCCCUUCCACAUGAUACAAAGAUAAUUAAUUAUAUUUCAUAAAGUGAUAUCUCUUAAAGCAUUCUGACCACAUUAUUUUUUAAAAAAAGCUCUUUUAAAUAGUGCUUCUGCACUGAGGUAGCACAAAGACUUCAGAAUAUUGUGUUUUAGUGGACUGUAAUCCAUAGAAAUGGAUUAGAAUGACUAAAAUGUAAAUCUUGGAAAGCUGCUUUAAACUUACAGCUUUUUAGAAAUGUAUUAAUUGCAUCUCAGUUUAGGCAAAAGAGGUUUGUUUUUUAUUUUUGUAUAGACAUUUUUGUGCAUUAAAUGUCUGUUAUUAUUUUAUUAGCAAGUCUCAGUCCACUCUGUGAUAAAUCAUAUCUUCUCAAGUAUGCAAUGAAUAUGCAAUGUUAAACACUUUUAAGCGCAGGAAUUAUGAUGACAUCCUUCAGAAAGUAUCCUAAAUGUGUGAUUUCCAGCCCACUAACCCACAAAUAAGUUGUGUACAGGCUCCCGUUGAGAACAAGCUCCUGUGGAUCAUCGGGUAAACACUGUCUAGCAGUAGAGCUGGGGGAGAGUGAGCCAUUUCCAUUUUAAAACCAGUUCUGUAAAGAAAAUCUUUAUGUGGGUGUCUGCACAUAAAGUGCUGCUGAUCCUAGGUCAGACGCUGUGUGUGCAGACUGUCAUCGCAGCCUUUGUUCAAAGAGGAGGAAAAUCCCACAGGUGGCCCUGUGAAAGGCUCAGCCUUGCACAGUGCUCUGCAAUCUGAUCCAGCUGAACACUUAAGUGUGCACUUAGUGUUAGCUUAAAGGACAAUGUCUGCUUUGCUAAAUGAUCCAGGAUCAAAUGCGUGUAUUCCUGAAGGAGGUAUAUAAUGUGUGAAAAUAAAUUGUAUGGAAAAGCAUGUACAGGUAGCUAGAUUGGUAAUUAGGGAAGCCAAUGAUUUCAGUUCAAGGAACACUUUCAUUUACAGUAUUUUGUUUCACAUUAAUCCUUCAGCAGUCUACCACAGUUUAUAUCUGGCCAUGAAAUUUUCAUCUGUGUAGUGUCUUUCUUUGAAACUUAGAGAUUUACAGUCUCUCAGCCUGAUUUAUCUCGACGCUGAUGACAAAAAUCCCAGUUUUGCUUUUGAAGGGUAUGAUUGACUAGUUAACAUUUAUUUCAGCCUUGGAGAAGGACAUCUUGCUUAUUUUAUAGAUAAAGUACGCCAAAAUAAGAUGAAGAGACUUUAUCAACAUUGCUCAGUAAGUUAAUGGCACAAAGUCAUAGAACUAAGGAUUCCUUGCCCUCUCUCCACUGCUUUAUGCUCUUUUGAUAACGUGUUUGUAUUUCCAUAGCAAUAUUAUUCUGGCACAUGGUAAUGCAAUAGUUUUGAAAUAUGCUUUUCAUGUGAUGUGCGAAAACAUAAAAUCUAUAGAUAUGCAGCAUACAUGGGUAGAAGAAUUCAUAUUACAAUAUGUAGCUACAAGCAUAAUAAAUGGAAAUUGAUGAAAAGGGAAUCUUUCUACUGCUGGGAUUUUAAAGAAUUAGACAAAUGUGCCUAGCUCAAAUAAGGCAGAAUAUUCUGCUUCUUGUCACAGAAAGAGCGAUGAACAUGUAUCAGAAGAGCAAAUCAGCUGCCGCUUGCUAAGUACCCUAUGAUUUUUCUUGACUGCUGCCGUUUGGGCCCUACCAAGUCCAGUACUUAUGGUGCAAAUCAGGGAUGCUAGUUCCUUUUUUGUUUUUCUGCCUUUUGAAAGGAUAGUCUUUCUUAGAAAAGACAGAAACUAUAGCAAUACAGUGCCAUCUCCUCAGAUAAAUUUUUAUUAAUUCAUUUGCUUUGCAAGAGGGAGCUAAAUCAGUAUAAUUGUGGAUUCUUGGUCCUGCGGGCAGAACAGAAUCCCAGAAACAUGACAUUGUAUGCUAUUUUUCUCUUAUUUUUAAAGACAGUCUGCAUAGUACAAUAUUAGGUGAAGCAAAUCUUUGUAAUUCAUAUGUUUAUGCUGGGCAUUUUUAAUUAUUGUUGUUAGUAAUGGUGGCGUUAUUAUACUAAAAGUAAUAUUAGUGUGUGGUAGGAGUCCUUCUGUAAGGCUAUGUACAGAAAGCUCAUUCAAAGAUAGCGUUCUGGAGAUGAUGCUCUAUCUAACCGAAAUCAGCAGGACAUAGGAACUCCGUCCUGUACGAUGAAUAACAAAAGAAAGGGCAGUUUACAUUCUUUGAUACAUUUCUGCUCGAUUAACCCCCAGUGGGAUUUUACCCCUCCAGUCACAUUCUUUUGUCCCUCUAAUCUUCUUUUGUAUUUGUUCACUGACCCCAAGCAUGUAUUUGACUUGUGACCCUAUUUCUGUUAAUAAAAUACAGGCCAUCUGACCAGCAUUCACACCAAUGAACUACAAGGUGACGAUUACCUCAUUGUAAGCGCCAGGAGCUAGCAGCACACAGCAGUGUAGGGCUGGUGGUUGGGUGGGCUGAGGAUAACCAACCAACGCGACUCGAGCAGUUCUGAACCGCAACUUCAAAAGCAAGAAAAAGAUGAUAGGCUCCUUCAAAGUAUUCAGUGCUGUCCGUGGAAGAGCUGUACAUAUCCUCACGUAUUGUUCAGCUGUUAGUUGGUAAUAUUUAAGGGAUUAUGGCAAAACGAAAAACAAUCGUAGCUAUAAUGUGGAAAUUUUCAGCAUCCAUAUGGGUGGUAGCUUAUAAAAUCAAGAUUACUUUGUUUAUGUUUGGGGUUAUCAAUAAUAAUUAUAUGCCUCAUGAAAAGAAACCAAACACAUCAACACUCAUGGAUAAUAAUUUCAGUAUAGUAUUUUGAGGCUAAAAGAACACUGCAAAGCACAGGUGAACUCUUUUUAAGCAAAGUAUUAUUUGUUUUUAAAGCACCAGCAGAAGUGUUGAUUUUUUUUCAAGAAGAAAAUACACAGUAAUGAACUUAUUAAUGAUUUCACCAGAUCUGAAAACCAUGAGGUCUUAUGAAAAAGCCCUGUUAAUUGUGUGUUACAUGAAAAAAUCAUGCCAAAGCCAUUUAUCAGAUAUGUAAUCUGUGGCUCUGUUUUGUGACAGGAAGCCAUUAUUUCCACUGAAAAAACAAAUCCGUUAAAUUUGAACUAUUAGAUUACAGCAGGGUUAAGGCUGCUUCUGUGCUGUAGAGUCACAUCAGGGUCACGGCUCGGUUCUGGAGAUGUACUGCAAGAGCCUCAUAUCUGAUUAAGACAAAAAACUGAUAAAAAUGUAAUGCAGACUAACAAUAUGGAAUUAUCUGAUGCAGUUUGGGGGGAUAGGGGCAGGGGGUAUAACAUCAUUCAGUUUAUUUGCAUAUGUUUGUUCUUUCUACUGAAAUCAAUCUCUUUGAAGGAAGCAAGAAAACUUUAGAAAAAGAAAAUAUUAUUAAUGCUGGUAAGAGAACACAGAAGAAAAUCUUUAGUAAACAUUUCUUUUCCAGUGUUGAUUAUCAUUCUGUCUAAUGUUUAUUUUCAUAAUUUCUUUGAUCCAAGCACUAAUAACAAUAAAGUUGACUCUGUUUCUUUGAACUAGCACAACUAUGCUAUGGCCAAAUUUGGAGGAAAUUUUUAAGUGGCUUUUGUUUUACUCCCAAGCCACACAACAGAUUUAUAGGGUAAAUAUUUGCAUAGCUCACACCCUCAUCUGUUUAGGAAUGCUUCUAUGGCUAACAGUAAUUUACCUGUUGUGGGCCUCUGUCAGGCUAUGGGCUGUAAAUGUCCAGGCAUAUACUAAGCAGCAGUCAAGAGAGCCCUUGGCUCAAGGCUUUGAGUCGUGGAAGUUGCUGAGGUUCAUAGGGACAGCCCACCCUCUCUGCAGCAGGGCAACAGGCAGAGGCAGGGCACGGAUUGCAGAGGACCAGGGCUGUGCUGCUUGGGGUCUCCGCAUGAGGGGACGGGAAAAGUCUUUGCUGAGCUUGGGUCAGAUUUCUCCCCAGUCUUCUUCCAUCAGAAAUUUGGAAAAUUUGUAUGUACUAUAGACUUAGAGAGAAUUACAUUCCUAAUGUAAGUGUAUUGUAAAAUUUGUACUGUUCUAUUUACCAGCCUCACUCUGUCAGUUACCGAAGGAAGCAUAUUCUGGAUUAGCUCCCUGUUUGGUGAUUUUCUUUUUUCUUAGUUUCUGGAGGACUAGAUAUUAAAGCAUGGUACAUUCUCGUGUUCUCUAAGAGUUGCUAUUUUUCUGUUUGUCCCAAUGCUUAGCCAAGCUGAACAAGAGGGUCUGAUCUAAAGAUUGAUUACCUCUGUGAACAGGUCCAAGUUUCAUUCUUAAAUCAGCCAGCAUGUGGUUGAUGACAGGGACAAAGCCAACCCUCAUCCCUCCCUAAGCAAAUCAUCUUACCCUUUACUGUAGUUUGACCAGAUUAUAAUUUCACCAUUAAAAUAAAUGUCAAAAUCUCCCCUGGCUUCAGCUGGAUUUGGGUUUGGCCAUCAGUUUCUAAGUGCAGAUGGCCUGCUGCAGGGCUUGUUUUUAAAUCCAGAGGUGUGCAAGUGCUUCAACAGCUUAUAAAAAUAUAAAUGAAUACAAAUAACAUGUGUUCUGGUGUUGCUAAAAAGAAUCAUUAGAAUAUGGGUGUGUUUAAGGAUAGAUCAGGACUAGUCCCUGUGACUGCAGGUAGCUGGCACUUGUGCAAGGCUGAAUACUUAAGUUAUGAACUGUAUAGACGAUUUGGGCUCUAUCUUUUCUCCUUUUUAAUCUCUUUCUCUCUCUCUGUCUUUUUUUAAUAUUUAUUUAUUUAUUUAUUAUUUUGUACAUAUUAAAAAUGGGAAAUAGAAAAAAAAAAAAGUUGUUGUUAACUUCUGCCUUUUGCCCUGGACAAAAUACUGUGUUUCUGUUCCUAGAGGAUGGAGUCUCCAUUAAGUACUUAAGGGCUCCUGUGUAAAUGUGCAAAAGUGCUUCCCUUAACAGAAAAUCAUCACAGCUGCACAUACAAACAAAAAGGAAAGGUUGCUCAGUUUCUUUGUUGUUUUGUUGUUUGUUUUUUUUCUUUUCAACUUAGGAAAACAGAAAUAUCAGAACUGAUCUGUACAGUUCACUUUCACAUAAGUAUACCGAAGAAUAUGGGACUGGAAAAAACCACACUGCUUCAGGCUGCUCCCUAGAUUGCUGGCAACUGUACUGUGGCAUAGGUACAAAAUGCAGAAUGGGCCCAGCUCCUCUGUAGAUGUCCCUAUAAACAAAAGUAGGAAACAGGGAGUUACAGAAUGCCCAUUUCUCGGUGGGUGAGAAUUCCAAAACUUAGGGUCUUUAAAUUCUUACACAGUCAACAUGAAAUUACGAUAAGGAUUUCAUAAUUUCGUCAGCAGGCUUUGAAAGAUAGCUGUGUGGGGAGGGAGGAGAGGACUAUUUGAAUGCAAGUGAGCAAAUCUAUUUUGCAUUGUUCAACCCAAUGUUGUUGUUCACUUUACUUUUUUACCUUUUAAAAACUUAAAAACAAACAAGAAAACAAUAUAGCAGUGCUAACUUGCUGGAAAAAGCUCUCACUAUGUAUUUUCACCAUAAAAACCAGGACUUGAGCAUACAUAAGCAGAGUCCCUUGGAUUCUCUAACCCCUGAGACUACCUGGCUUUCAGUAUAAUUCAGAGCUAAGCACAGAAUUGUGUGCAGCUUUCUUCUCUCCUCCCUUUUUGAGUAAACAUUUCUACUCCACAUUUCUGCAGAGGUGUAGACAGAGCAGAACCAUCUGCCUGAGCCUGCAGAAGCCUGAAGCAGCAUUGAGAAGUAUAUUGCUUGAAAAUUAAAUAGUUUUUCUAUGUCAUGCCAAAAACUCAACAGGUUACAGCUUAGAAUAAGUGAGAAUCCACCUAAGAGUAGUGCAUGGCAUGGCAUGGCACAGCGAUGAAUAUGGUGUUGUUUUAGCUAUCUAGAUUGAUUGAUGUAGAUAUUAAAUGACAGAUUUGAGGUUUUUGUGAUUACAUGCUUUAUCGCUGUUGGCCCAAAAGUGGACCUUUAGUGGGUGUAAAGUUUUUGUGAUGCUUGGCAAAGAAUGCAGCCGAUGUUCUAGCUUACGUACACUGCUGGAGAGCUUCAAACAGUCCUCUUAAAAACAGCUCUCCAGCAGGAUUCUUGUACUCUUCUCAGCUAAGGACUGAGGCAUGGCUUGCGCCUCAAGAUCAUGUUUUAUAUAGUCCCACAGUAAUUCUUUUUCCUUUAUCUCCAUUAAUUUUCCUUUGCCAGUUCUGGUCUGUUCUCUUCUGCUCAGCAGGGGGUGUUUUUGUUCUUUUUCUUUGCUGCUAUUAAUUUUCCUAUAACACAACUAUCUACUAUAUUUGCAUAGCAUCCAUCAUCGAGAUACUAAGAUAGUUUUCAAGUACAUUAAAUUCCACAUUUUAAAACAGUAAUAAAAGGCUUUUGCUAAAUAAAUAUAUAAAGCUGCUCACAGAUCGUGCAACAAGGAAACCAAAUACAGAGCUCAAGUUCCCAGAACUUGGGAGGACAAAGGAGCAGUUUACUAAACAGCCUUUUCCCAACACUCAGAGCUCUGAUAAUCCUUAGAGGAAAUAAUAAAUCUUUCUCUUUUUUGCUCUUCCCUGCGUUUCUUUUGUUGUUUCUGAUUUUAAAGAAAUGACAAGUGUAGGUACUACUUACAAGGCAGAUUCCUUGAUGUUUCUGGUAGUCCAACCAAGGGACAAGAUUGUGUGAAUAGGAAAGGGAGGUGAACAAUUCAUCCUGUAAAGGAAUUAAAAACAAAAGCAGAAAUCCUUUGUAAGAAAAAGAGUGGCUGGGAUUAUAGCUGCAUGCUUUCACUAAUGACUUUGCAAACAUUUAGUCAGAGAGAACCUGGAAAUCAAGUUGCACUUUAUUUAAUAUUCAGAUAAGGACCAUUCACCUGCUGUUAAGCUACAACAUCUACAAUCAUUCUUUGAAUACUGAUAAUUAUAUGAAGCAGACUCCCCUAGAGGCUGGUAGUCUAGUCUGGAUUCACCUGGAAUACAAAGAUGAAUAAUAUUGCAUAUUACAUGCUCCCAAGUAGUUGCAAUUUAUAGAAAUGUCCAUUUAUGCUCUUGAGAAAAAAAAAAAAGAAAGCAUAUUUCCCUUGGGUUAUGUUAUAUGGUGAUAAAAAUCUAUGUGUGGGACUGCUUGGAUUGUAACUCCUAGUAUGCCUGUUGUUGAUUAAUUAAUAAACAAAUAAAACAUCAUAUUUAGCCAGCUAUCUCACUACAAGACUAUAAAAUAGAAAAUGUUAAAAAAAAAAAAGUGUACCUUGCUAUACAGAAAGAUUAAGCAGAGACAUGUGAAAUGAGUUUCAGAAGUGGCACGCAAAUGGCUCAGAGUAGAUGUGUGUAUACGUUUUUAAAAGAUGAGGAGUGUUAUGAACGUGCUCUGUUAGCUUCCUCCUUCCCUCCUCUUUCUCCCAUCAGGUGCCUUGUCCUUGCUCUCCCCUCUCAUUUGCUGAUGGCUGAUAACACCUUAUCUCCACCAGGGAAGCAACUGGGAAGUUUGCUCCUUCCUCACUAGGCUGAGGGUAUAAUUAGAACAACGCACCUGCUCAGUCCUCCAGUGACUCAGUUAGUCUACAUCCAUGUCAAAAUCCAUGCUGUGAGGGUAAUUUGAUCAUCUCACUUACCUUUUCAUAUACUUUAUGUGAAUAAGCCACCAGAACAAGCCUUUGUUGCUUUAGUUCAGUUUAAUCUCACAAAUUUGUGUCAAUUCUUUGUUCCUAGAAGAAUUUUAUCAUUUGAUCUCAUGCUUACACUUUAGUAGACUUUAGUACAUAUUUUAUUUCCCUCUCUAGAAUAUAAAAUUCCAUCUUGUGUCAAAAUAUUCUUAUUAGUAUCUAUUUAUAUUUCAGAGAUACUUACAAUCUUCAGCUGCUGAGAGCAGGGUCUUGUUGUACAAGAUGAUACAAAGGCACACAAUAAAGGAUUGCUGGUCCCAGGAGCCUGGCAAGCUAAGCAAGGGGAGAGAGGAAAUAUCACCACUGUUUUACAUAUGGGAAACCAGAGCUCUGAGAAUCUGUGCAACUCAUUGCAGUGUCACACAGCAAUAUUGGCAAGGGAGUUCUGUCAAAGUCCAGAAUCAGUGCAUACUAAAGGUGGAUAUAAACCCUGUUUUCUUGGCAAGCAUCAAUAUAAGCUCAAAUAAAUUACAGGCAGGUACACUGGUAUCAUUUGCACACUGAGUAUGCCAAGGCUCCCUUGGUCUCCUCUGCAGCUGUUUCUUCCCCAGCUCCAUUCUUCAGAGCAGCAGAUACUGCUUUUUGAUGCUGUCCUCUUAGGCUCAUAGAAGUUAGUCUACCACUGCUUCCUCUAGCACUUAACAAAAAUUUACCUCUGGCCCUGAGAUGCCACAGUGGUAUCAAAUCUCUCUGACUGCAGCAGCUUCCAGGCACAGCAGAGAGACACCAAAGGUCCUUUAAUUUCUCCUUCCAAGCACCCAAGGAGUAAUGCAAUUGUUUUGUCCUUGAACGUAGCCUGGAAUCUCCUGCAUUAGAAUACUUUUCCUCAUUUAAUCUGCUCUUCCCAGCAGUCCCUGUAACCCUGGGGAAGCAGUAGCAAGCAGGGGGUAUUCACUCAAGACCAAGCAACGGAGAGGCACGUUGAUAUUCCCUGAAGACAAAAUAAACCAAGGGGAAAGUUCACUGUCUUCCUUUUGAAGAUGACUGAAGGUAGGAGGGGAGAUUGCCAGGACUGAAGGUGGAUGGCAGCUGGCACAGAGUUGCUUGCAGCCCCCAAACCUUCAAGGCCAUGGCAAACAUUUCCAACACAGCCUGCUGAAUUCUGUUUGCAAAACAGUUGAGCUAAACUCUUUACCAAUGCUGACUGCACUGCUCUAAUGCUGCCUUCUGACUUAAAACCAAUUCAGGCUAAUUGUUAAGGAUCAGAUAACAGGAAAAUAUUUCUAUUUGACAGUCUACUAUUUUUCAAUUGUUCCUCUGUUACAUAUCUAAGUAAACAUUUGUUCCACUUAUCAUUUCUGAGCAAAAGACAUGAAUCAUUUGACUAGUAAAACCACAACGACAGCUGUUGCUUAUUAGAAACAGUCAUCUUGUUCAAGGGCCUGCUAUGAAGGGGUUCUUCAGGAAACUGUUUCUGCUUUUAGUGCUUUACAGUGUAAUGAAAGCAGAGUUGCAGAAAUUAGGGCAUUUUUAUUUCACUUGUGAUUGGCAAAACACACAGGCACACAAAAACAGAGCAGUUGUUACAGCUGAGCUAGAAGCCUGCAAGAAAAUGGAAAAUACUCAUUGAAGAGUACUGCUAAUGAUAUAAUAAUUAUCUUCUUUGCCUUUAUAUGGCUUUCUACAGUAUAGGUCAAACAAAGUGGGUUCUAGGGGUUCCUUUGUGAUUAGGUUAUAUCAUUUUGGAUUUGGGAUUGGAUAAAUUCGGUAUACUAGUUACAAAUCCUCUACCAGAUAUAUAUUUUUGCCCAGAUCUUAGGAACAAAUUAAUACUGGAUUUGUAAAUACCCCUAGAAGGCAGUCACCAGUGAUGACAACAAUACUACUUUCAGAUAAAGCUUCUCCAGCCAAUGGUAGAAAAAAAAAAAAAAGAGUUUUAAAAAGUAAGAGCAGCAUAAGAGAAUGCUAUGAAAUUGUUUUUAAAUGAAUGGAAGAAAAUUAGGAAAGUAAAGCUAUGCCAAAAGGAAUUUGUAAAAUAAGUGAAACUGAGGCAGGUGAGAUGCAAAGAUUUUUCUCCUUCUAGGAUGUUGCUACAAAUGCCUUGUAGAGCAUAAAGGCAGAAAUGUGUUUGUUCCUGUGACUGCAUGAAAAAAAAAAAAAGUAUUAAACAGAUGCCCUAACACUUAGGCAUUUUUUCAGACAAACCACUAGACUGACAAACCCAGUAUGAUGCCUUUAUCAUCAGGUUUGAAGGGAGAAGCCAAGGACAAAAAGGAGCAUAGAGGCUGCACUGAUCCCAGCAGAAGAGAGGGGUGGGACAUUCAAAGCAAUUGAGAAAUACUACCAAGCAGUGUGCUCUGCUGGUAAAUAGGAGCAUUCGUGGUUUUGUGAUUUUGUUGUUUAAAUGUGUUCCAAAACACUAAAUUCACUUGUAAAUAUUAAAGAAGAGUGGGGAAAAAAAAA